GACAGGAUGGCCGAGUGGUUAAGGCGGUAGUUUCGAAUCCGCUGAAUGCGAUCGAUCAGCUACUUCACUAUGUGAGCGUGAGUUCAAAUCUCACUUCUGUCG